rnacentral:lncRNA from 1 species
AGGCUUACCAAGAGCACUUUCACUGUUACAAGUGGAAGCCGCACAAAUAAACACCAAGGGAGACAGGGAGAUCCAGUGUGCCACAUCUAGCCACUAUGCCUGCACCUAUCUUUCAAGAUCUUCUUUAAAAAGGAGUCAUUUCCUAUGGGACUGUUAGAAACAGACUGCAGAACCAGAAUAACUCUUGGCACCAGUAUCUUGGCAAUCUUUCUUCGGACUACCUACAUGAAUAUGUGGAAAUAUUAUACGCCCGUUUUUGUCUGGAAAACUGCAUGGUACCAUUGCAGAAAACAAAUAAAUAACUUUUAAAUAAUCAGUAAAAUUGCCUGCAGUAUAGCCACAACAAGUGGAAGGGAUUACUAUGUUCGCACUGAAAAGGAAGACACAAAGUAUAUCAGUUUCAUGGUUAUUAACAACAUAGAGAUUUCAAUAUAAAGUUAAUCGACUGUUGAACACCUCAUGUUUUGUAACAAAUCCAGCCACAGUUCAAGGACAGGAGUGAGUCACCAUUAAUCUAAAUGAAUCCAGGUCCUAUACUUAUGGUAAGACAUUCUUCAGUGCUUGUAGUUCUGCAUUCUCAGUGAAAUGCAUACAGUUGAUCAUGGGCACAAAUGAUGGCAGAUGUGUAAUUACACACUGAGCGUGGAGUACAUGUGCAAGUAUUGAGCACCUCACAAGUUCAUGACAACUAUCUCUGUGAUAACCUGAUACUCCAUGCUAACGUUCUUCCAACGUCUUCUAGUCCAAACUUCAGGUAAAAGUAGACCUUGAAAGCAGCACAAAGCAAAGCCCAGGCAGGUGGGCACAAUGGUUAUAAUGGCAGUCAUCAUGAGUAAAAUCACUGCUAGUAUUUAUCUUUGCUCUUUGUCCUUGCUGUUUGUUCUCUGGCAGCCUGAAAACUAAUUUCCUCCCUCAACUGCAUACCAUGGAACCUGCAUGCUCUGCAGCCUUCACCUUGCAAGGAGAGCUACUGUUGUGGUUUAACCCGGCAGGAGGCUGAGUUCGCUCAUUCCCCCCUUACCAGUGGGAUGGGGGAAAGAAUCAGGAAAAAAAUGUAGAACUUCUGGGUUAAGACAAAAAUAUUUACUAAGAUAAAGGAAAAGGAUAAUAGUUAUGA